AGAUGUGAGGGUAAUCUGACUGUGACAUCUGUCACCCUAUUGAUUGUCAGGGUCAACUGGGCUGAUCUCAUUAGCUAACCGUUUCCUCCCCACCCCCCACUUCCCUGUCUCACCAGCAAAGAGGAUGACCUUCCCUGGGAGAGGGAGGGAUUAGUGCUCUGUUGCAGGUGUAUAAAUAGGUGCAGUACUCUGUUGGAAGUUCCAAAAAAGGGCUAGAGAGAUGGCUUAGCAGGUAAAGCCCUUGCCUACAAAACCAGAGGAUCCAGGUUCGAUU
rnacentral:snRNA from 1 species